rnacentral:rRNA from 1 species
AGAGUUUGAUUCUGGCUCAGGAUGAACGCUAGCGACAGGCUUAACACAUGCAAGUCGAGGGGCAGCAUAAAAGUAGCAAUACUUGGUGGCGACCGGCGCACGGGUGAGUAACGCGUAUGCAACCUACCUAUCAGAGGGGAAUAACCCGGCGAAAGUCGGACUAAUACCGCAUAAAACAGGGGCACCGCAUGGUGAUAUUUGUUAAAGAAAUUCGCUGAUAGAUGGGCAUGCGUUCCAUUAGGUAGUUGGUGAGGUAACGGCUCACCAAGCCGACGAUGGAUAGGGGAACUGAGAGGUUGGUCCCCCACACUGGUACUGAGACACGGACCAGACUCCUACGGGAGGCAGCAGUGAGGAAUAUUGGUCAAUGGGCGAGAGCCUGAACCAGCCAAGUCGCGUGAAGGAAGAAGGAUCUAUGGUUCGUAAACUUCUUUUGCAGGGGAAUAAAGUGCAGGACGUGUCCUGUUUUGUAUGUACCCUGAGAAUAAGGAUCGGCUAACUCCGUGCCAGCCGCUGC